AACGAACGCUGGCGGCAGGCUUAACACAUGCAAGUCGAACGGGUGUAGCAAUACGUCAGUGGCAGACGGGUGAGUAACACGUGGGAACCUUCCUAGGGGUACGGAACAACUCAGGGAAACUUGAGCUAAUACCGUAUACGUCCGUGAGGAGAAAGAUUUAUCGCCCUUAGACGGGCCCGCGUCGGAUUAGCUAGUUGGUGGGGUAACGGCCUACCAAGGCGACGAUCCGUAGCUGAUCUUAGAGGAUGAUCAGCCACACUGGGACUGAGACACGGCCCAGACUCCUACGGGAGGCAGCAGUGGGGAAUCUUGGACAAUGGGCGCAAGCCUGAUCCAGCCAUGCCGCGUGAGUGAAGAAGGUCUUCGGAUUGUAAAGCUCUUUUGCCAGGGACGAUAAUGACGGUACCUGGAGAAUAAGCCCCGGCAAACUUCGUGCCAGCCGCCGCAGUAA
rnacentral:rRNA from 1 species